rnacentral:lncRNA from 1 species
AGGUUUAGAAAAGAAAUUAUCAAAUAAUAUUUCUAAUAAGAAAUGGAUAUUUUUCAAUUUUGCCUUAGCUUAAGGUUGCUCUAUGUCAUGGUUCAAAUUCAGUGUUCAAUAACUUAUUGCCUAAAUGUACAAUGAUCUAUCUGGUCCCCUCAAUGAGGCCAGAAGAAAAGAAUAAACUGGUAAAAAGGGGGCUAAGAUCCUCCAAGAACUGAGUUUGUGUUCCAGCUCUAUCACUUACUUUUGAUUAUCUGUGGGCAAUUUAUGUAAUGUAUUUUAAAUUAUGUUUUCCAUACCAGUAACAGGGACACAAUAAUUUACAUCCUGCAUAUCUUGAGACUAAAUGAGUCAGUAUGUAUAACAGAACUUUGUGGUGCUUUACAAAUUGUAAUAUUGAUGUGUUUUUGACUCAGCAGGCCCUGUUGACUGGAGGGUGGCCAUUUGAUAACACAGAUUCUUUCCUGAGGAGACUUUGGCUUCUGGUGACUUGGGUCCCGGGCAGGAACUAAUCAAGGUAACAACUUGACUCACGGAGAACAAAGAAAAGCAAGACGGGACA